AUGAGGAUCAUGAUCAAGGGCGGGGUGUGGAAGAACACCGAGGACGAGAUCCUCAAGGCGGCCGUGAUGAAGUACGGCAAGAACCAGUGGGCGCGCAUCUCCUCGCUGCUCGUCCGCAAGUCCGCCAAGCAGUGCAAGGCCCGCUGGUACGAGUGGCUCGACCCCUCCAUCAAGAAGACUGAGUGGACAAGGGAAGAGGAUGAGAAGCUGCUCCAUCUUGCUAAGCUCAUGCCUACUCAAUGGAGGACUAUUGCACCUAUCGUGGGUCGAACACCAUCCCAGUGCCUCGAGCGUUAUGAAAAAUUGCUCGAUGCUGCCUGUGCAAAGGAUGAGAAUUAUGAGCCUAAUGAUGACCCAAGAAAGUUGCGACCUGGGGAGAUUGAUCCAAACCCCGAGUCAAAACCUGCACGUCCGGAUCCUGUUGACAUGGAUGAAGAUGAAAAGGAAAUGCUUUCUGAGGCAAGGGCUCGCUUGGCUAACACCAGGGGUAAAAAGGCAAAACGGAAGGCAAGAGAGAAACAGCUUGAAGAGGCGAGGCGGCUUGCAUCACUGCAAAAAAGGAGAGAACUGAAGGCAGCUGGUAUUGACAACCGGCACAAGAAAAGGAAGAGAAAGGGAAUUGACUAUAAUGCUGAGAUCCCUUUUGAAAAGAGACCCCCUCCAGGCUUUUAUGAUACAGUGGGUGAGGACAGGCCACUUGAGCAUGUGCAGUUUCCAACUACCAUCGAGGAGCUUGAAGGGAGGAGACGAGUGGAUGUAGAGGCUCAGUUAAGAAAGCAAGACAUUGCCAAGAACAAGAUUCUGCAGAGGCAGGAUGCCCCUGCCGCAAUAAUGCAAGCAAAUAAACUCAAUGACCCAGAAGCUGUCACAAGAAGGUCCAAACUAAUGCUUCCACCACCCCAAAUUUCUGAUAUUGAAUUGGAGGAGAUUGCUAAGAUGGGCAAUGCUGGCGAUCCUGCUCUAGCCGAGGAGCUUGGUGAAGGAAGUACUGCUACUAGGACACUGCUUGCAAAUUAUUCCCAGACUCCAAGGCUUGGUAUGACACCAUUGCGAACCCCGCAACGAACGCCAGGUGGGAAAGGUGAUGCUAUUAUGAUGGAGGCAGAGAAUCUUGCACGUCUAAGGGAAUCACAAACACCUCUUUUAGGAGGCGAUAACCCAGAGCUUCAUCCAUCAGAUUUCUCUGGCGUUACACCACGUAAGAAAGAGAUGCAGACUCCAAAUCCCAUGGCAACACCUCUGGCUAGCCCUGGCCCUGGUGUUACCCCAAGGAUUGGUAUGACACCGUCCAGAGAUGGAAAUUCCUUUGGGUUAACUCCAAAAGGGACCCCCUUCAGGGAUGAGCUUCACAUAAAUGAAGAGGUGGAAAUGCAAGACAGCGCACAGCUUGAGCUUCGUCGGCAAGCAGAGUUAAGAAAAGGUCUGCGAUCUGGUUUUGCUUCUAUUCCACAGCCUAAGAAUGAGUACCAGAUAGUUAUGCCACCUAUCACAGAGGAGAACGAAGAAUCUGAAGAGAAAAUUGAGGAAGAUAUGUCAGACAGGUUAGCACGAGAAAGGGCCGAGGAACAAGCAAGGCAGGAGGCAUUGCUCAGAAAGAGGUCCAAAGUGUUGCAGAGGAGUUUGCCUAGGCCACCUGCGGCUUCAGUGGAGAUUCUCCGGCAGUCUCUGAUUAAAGGUGGUGAAAGCAGAAGUACCUUUGUGCCUCCUACAUCACUUGAACAAGCUGUUGAGCUAAUAAAUGAGGAGCUCCUUAGGCUCCUUGAGCAUGAUAAUGCUAAAUAUCCGCUUGAUGAACAGAUUCAGAGAGAUAAAAAGAAAGGAAGCAAGCGUCAGGCAAACACAGCAGCUUUCGUCUCUGAAAUCGAAGGUUUCGAUGAGCAUGAACUAAAAGAGGCAAGUUCUAUGGUUGAGGAGGAGAUUCAGUAUCUUCGUGUGGCCAUGGGCCAUGAAAAUGAAUCUUUUGAGGAUUUUGUAAAGUCACAUGAUGCAUGCCAAGAGGACCUUAUGUUUUUCCCUACUAACAACAGCUAUGGUCUUGCUAGUGUUGCUGGAAAUGCUGAUAAAAUUUCUGCCUUGCAACAUGAGUUUGAAAUGGUGAAGAAGAGAAUGGAUGACGAAGCAAAGAAGGCUUCUCGGCUUGAGCAGAAGAUCAAGCUGCUGACACAAGGUUACCAGGCGCGGGCUGCAAAAUUGGGGUCACAGAUCCAGGACACCUUCAAGCAGAUGAAUACUGCGGCAACAGAACUUGAAUGCUUCCAAGAGUUGCAGAAACAAGAACAGAUGGCUGGUGCCUAUCGUGUGAGAAAUUUGGCUGAAGAAGUGAAUAAACAGAAGGCACUGGAACAGACUCUCCAAAGCCGCUAUGGUGAUCUGUUGUCUGGUUACCAGAGCAUCCAAGGACAACUUGAGGAGCACAAGAGGCUACUUAACCUACAGAAGGAGGCAAUAGAGGCAGAAAACCGUGCCAAGGAGGAGGAAGCUGCAGCUCAAAAUCGCGCCAAGGAAGAGGAAGCUGCAGCUCAAAGUCGUGCCAAGGAGGAAGCUGCAGCUCAAAAUCGCGCCAAGGAGGAGGAAGCUGCAGCUUUAAAUUGCGGCAAGGUGGAGGAAGCUUCAGCUCAAGAUGGUGCUGCUGAGGAAGAAAAUGAGAGGAAGAAUCACGGCAUUGAAGAGGAAUCAGGACAGACCAGGGUUGCCAAUGAAGAAGCUGCAGGAAGCAAAGAAAUCAUCGGGGAUCAGAUGGAUGUGGACAACGCAGAUGCAGCUGGAGAACUUGUAGGUCCGAUUCCUCCUCUGCCGGAUGCUCAAGUGGAUAAUGAUGGAGCUUCAGUUGAACAGAGUACUUCUAACGCUAAGAGUGGUGAGAACGUUGCCAUGAAUGAGGGAGCUGUUGACAAGGUUGAUUCGUCCAAAUUAGAUGGUCAAGACAAUACCAAUGGUAGCAUGGAUGUUGAUGCUGGUAGCCAGGAAGAGGGAAACAAUGUUCCUGCCGCUCCUGAUGCUACAAUUGUAGAUGUAGGGAACACACCUGUAUCUUCAGAUCAAGCUGUCUCGAAUGAAGAGAGUGACGUGGUCCCUGAAUGA
rnacentral:rRNA from 1 species